rnacentral:rRNA from 1 species
AGCAGUAUUGAACUGAAGAGUUUGAUCAUGGCUCAGAUUGAACGCUGGCGGCAGGCCUAACACAUGCAAGUCGAGCGGAUGAUGGGAGCUUGCUCCCGGAUUCA